CCCCCUCGAAGUGGUAAUGAAAAGUGUAACUUUAGCCUCCCAGCUGUACGUCUCAAUCCAUAAUCCUUCCCCAAAAACCUCACCGUAGUGCCGCCUACCACUCCCAUGGCGUUCCCAGCCUGUGCCGGGCUGGGCCUACUCUGAUUUAUGUGGCAGUCCCGUGUCAUACUCUCAACCUGAAAAGGAUUUGCUCUCUUAUAUUUACCAGGGUGGUCAGGGCAGCUCUCUUGAAACACAGAAAGCCCAGUCUCCGGGCCUCACUCCCAGACAGUCUUUUUUUACCCCUCUGUGCCAAUAACCUGGACAUUUUGGACCUUACCAGAAUCAGACGAGGCUCCAGUGUUUCCAUAGUGGUGUGUUUCAGCAAAGCAGAGGUCAGAGUCCACGCACCCGCGCCUACACAGCCGCAUGGCCACAUUUUGGUAUGCAGAUACACAGACGCAGGGUCCGGUUAAGAUUUCCAUGUCCAUAUCCUGUGAACACGGGACAAGGAGAAGAAGUCCAGAAAAAGAAGGCAGAAUUUAACACGAAAGACUCAUCUCUGGCUCCCCUCUAAAAGUGAUGGUAAGAAAACCACGGCCAUGUUGGGAUGAGAUACUUACAGAUUCAACAUUUCUUUUACUACACAGAUGAAAAAUAUAAACUGUGGUUAAUGCAGGGAAAGCUUUUACAUUGAAGGGACGAUGAAUACUUUUGAGUACUCUAGCAUAUGUGCCAUGUGUUUGACAAACAGUAUUUAAUAAACCAUUAGAAUGACCUCAACCAAGCUAAUUUCCUGCUUUACAUCUUAAUGGAUUCUUUAUUUAAAGACUAGGUCAUUUAAUUCAUUAGUGCGGCGAAUGGUUGUUUUUACAUGUCUAAUUUUACAGUAUGCAGCGUUUCUAUGGAGUUAAUUGAACCUAAUUGUGUGUGUCCUGGAAUGUGUGCGCUCAUCAUAGUUGUCUUUUUGUCUGUGCCUCCAUGUACCCAUGUGCCAACGCAAGUGUGUGCCCAUAUGUGGGUGUAUGAGUGCUCCACUGUUACUCUGUGCCUGUGUGUGUGCCCAUGUGUGUUGUAUGCGGCCUAUUAGUGGAGUUUAACCCCUGUGUUCAGGGAGUCACAUCCCCUCAACACACCAGGCUCCAUUCUUACUGCAGCACGUUAACAUUUUACUCUCUUCCCUCCCCACCCACCCCCUUCACUUUUGUCCUAAGAGGGCAAUUAAGGAAACAAACGUUUUCCCCAAGAUAAGCUGGCUGCCAGCUUUGCAUACUAAUGCAAUGCCAAGUGGUUACAAAUAGUGAGUGCUCUAAUUACCGCCACUGUUUUCAAUCAGAAAUUGCUCAAUUUCCCAGGAUGAGGUCUCCAUGGCUGGUGAAAAAAGCACAACCUGACAGAGGCAAGAGACAAUCAUCUCUACGUGGAGUGUGGCUGGUUUUGUCUGCCUACGUGUGUGUGCUCAUGUGCUCGCAUGUGUGUACGCGUGUUGGUGCAAAUAAACUCAUCUGCCGUGUGUGUGUGUAGACCCCGGCGCGACCCUCUCUAUCACUGCUGCCCUUGACAAGUCAAGAAAUGGAUCCUGUCAGCCUCAACAGCAUUUAGCACCACAAUUAUCCUCUUUUCACAGCCCGGCUGCAUUAAUGUAAACCACACCAGGCAGUAGUUGCCACUCAGUGAUGAGCACGAUGUGGUGCACCAUCUCUGGGUGAGCAAUUUGGAGCAAUUGUGUUGCUUUGUAAUCAUCAGUGCAAAUCAGGGCCUGCUCAUUUAUUAAGCAAUUUCUGUUGGGGAAAAUUAGAAGGAAGGCUCUUUUAAUUUGGUAGGAGAUGGUAAUAUCUCUAAAAGCAACAAUAAUGUAUAAUGUGGCUGACAUCAAACACAAAAAAAAGGGGGAUAUUGGAGCGAGUUUAGCCCGCUUCAACCCAUCAGGAAGGUGCGUACCAUUCAGAAAGGAAUAGCCAUCGUUAUGUGGCCACCAGGAGUAGGGGGCAGCACAGACUAAAGUGACACGGACUCACUCCCUGGGUGUGACAAUGAGUCACUCCAUUGGAUGUGCACACAGGACCCAUCCUUUGGCCUUAGCUGACCUUUAGCUCUGACGGUGGUUAAUGGAGGGCUGGCCCUCGAUCAAUGCACUGAGAGACGGGGCUCCCCAUCCCUGCCCUUUCACCGGGCCAGGAAGGGACGGAUGCUGCCAGAAGCCACGCAGCGGAGCCAUCGACCCUGCCACUCUCCCAUCCUGUGGGUGACAGCUGCAGUGCCAAGGAGCCUGGGGACGCCACGCUGCCCUGCCACGGAGGAAGAACUGCCAGCAACUCUAUAUCUGUGGUGGUGGGAGGGAAAGUCACUGAUAAUCUGCAUGUGAAAGUCAGAUCCAUGUAAACAACCCCAGCAAACACUUUGGUGGGGAGAUGUUGAUGUGACGGCCUGCAGCAGUGUUGAAAACCCGCAUAGCAACAUGAAACGUUUUCAUACUACUGUACGUGUAUUAUUUUGUGUUCAGCUCGAAUCUUUUUCUAAGGCUAUUUUUAAUAAAGUUUUCCCAUUGUAUUGAGUUGUAUAAAUGAAGUGCAUAUUAGGGGAAGUUGUCAUCCAUCGACAGCUUUGUUUGUAAAAACAGAAUCCACUUAAUUACUUUAAUUUAAGUUGAAUAGAGUUGGACCAAAAGCUGAGAACCUUUUGUCAGCAAAAAGUUGAAGGCACAUCAAUAAAGCCAGAUUCCUGUAUAACCCAUAUCAAAUGUUGGCACUUGUGUUUGCAUUUUGAUCAUUCUUGGCAUUUGUUGUGCACUUAGAAUGUGACCGUAGGGAAUAUAUUUUGUGUCAUGCAGCACCAUGUAAGAUGUGCCUGAUGUUGUGCUUGGUGGUGUACUUUGUAACCCAGAUGGUGCACCACUGUAUUCCUUUUAUCAGCAUUUUUUUCUUUUUGUCAAUAAACAAUGCAUAAAACA